rnacentral:rRNA from 1 species
UACGGAGGGUGCAAGCGUUAUCCGGAUUCACUGGGUUUAAAGGGUGCGUAGGUGGGCUAGUAAGUCCGUGGUGAAAAUCUCUGAGCUUAACUCGGAAACUGCCGUGGAUACUAUUAGUCUUGAAUCUCGUGGAGGUAAGCGGAAUAUGUCAUGUAGCGGUGAAAUGCUUAGAUAUGACAUAGAACACCGAUAGCGAAGGCAGCUUGCUACACGAGUAUUGACACUGAGGCACGAAAAGCGUGGGGGAUCAAACAGG